CCGGUGGUUGGGGACCGCUGCCCCAAAUGAACCUACUAAAAAAAGAUUCCCAGUGUCAGAAACUGAAUUUGGAAUUGAGAACAAUCUGGCUUAUUUUGGGAGAGGAAUUGAAAGCUGAAAUCCAAUUGGGAACUUGUUGGAAAAGCAAACUGAUAGCUUUGUUCCUCCAUGUGGUAUCAUCUGAUCUGUGCAAUAUGACAGAAACUGAGUCUUUUUGGAUCACAUCUCUCCUCUUAC